rnacentral:rRNA from 1 species
GACGAACGCUGGCGGCGUGCUUAACACAUGCAAGUCGAACGGAAAGGCCCUGCUUGCAGGGUCCUCGAGUGGCGAACGGGUGAGUAACACGUGGGUGAUCUGCCCUGCACUUCGGGAUAAGCCUGGGAAACUGGGUCUAAUACCGGAUAGGAGCCAUUUUUAGUGUGAUGGUUGGAAAGUUUUUUCGGUGUAGGAUGAGCUCGCGGCCUAUCAGCUUGUUGGUGGGGUAAUGGCCUACCAAGGCGGCGACGGGUAGCCGGCCUGAGAGGGUGGACGGCCACAUUGGGACUGAGAUACGGCCCAGACUCCUACGGGAGGCAGCAGUGGGGAAGAUUGCACAAUGGGCGCAAGCCUGAUGCAGCGACGCCGCGUGGGGGAUGACGGCCUUCGGGUUGUAGACUCCUUUCGCUAGGGACGAAGCUUUUUGUGACGGUACCUAGAUAAGAAGCACCGGCUAACUACGUG